AACGCACGAGACCUGCGGACCUGCGGAAGGAUCAUUAUUCAGGUCCCCGCCACACCGGCGGACCCCCCACCCCCGUAAUCGGUAUGGUUGUUGCCCUAGUGGAUCUAGUCUAGACCAGUAGGGGUUUUAAAUCCUAUCAUGAGAAGGUCGUCGGAGCGUAUUGAAAAUGCGAAAACUUUCAGCAAUGGAUCUCU
rnacentral:misc_RNA from 1 species